GUACACACCGCCCGUCACACCAUGAGAGUCGGGAACACCCGAAGUCCGUAGCCUAACCGCAAGGGGGGCGCGGCCGAAGGUGGGUUCGAUAAUUGGGGUGAAGUCGUAACAAGGUAAC
rnacentral:rRNA from 1 species